AAUAAUUGUCGGCAAUUUCCAAGACUUGGAGGUAUACUUCCAGAAAACCCGUUGUCCUCCAUGUAGAGCUCUGUUAACGAAGUGAUGUUACCCAAGGAGGACGGAAUUGGCCCAGAAAACUUGUUGCCACCCAAAAAAAGUACCACUAACUUUUGAAGCUUCCCAAUUUCAUUAGGGACACUAUGAUCCAAAUAGUUACGCUCCAUUCCUAGACGGUUCAAGUUUAUAAGAUUUCCAAUGCUAUUAGGGAGGCUUCCAUGUAUCAAAUUUUCCCCAAGAGUAAGGGACUUUAGUUGGGUUGAAAGGUUGGCAAGGGAACCCGGGAUUCCUCCUCCAAAAUGAUUUUGGAAAAUACUCAAUGUUUCCAAACUAGUGCAAUUAGCCAAGAAACUAAAAAAAUUCAAAUCACCGUUUUUUCCAUUUCCCAGUCGAUUGGAUUCAAAGUUUAGCCAAACUAAGCUCUUCAAGCUUCCGAUAUCUUCACCAGGGACUGACCCAGUGAGCUUAUUUGCAGCAAUAUCAAACCUUUGAAGUCUAGAAGCAUUUGACAAAGAUACAGGAAUAUUUCCUGUGAAUUUGUUCAUACCACAGAAAAAUUUUACGAGGUUAGGGAGCAUAAUGCCGAGAUUUGGUGGUAGCUCUCCAUGCAACUGGUUUUCAGUAACACUAAAAGUGUAUAUUGAAGAAAUAUUAUAGAUUGUGGAAGGAACCAUACCAGAUAGAUUAUUCCCCUCAACUACGAAUUCCUCCAAGCCUGUUAUAAGGCCCAGCUCAUUGGGUAUGCUUCCUUGAAAAUUGUUUUCGCCAAGAUAAAGACUGCUCAACAAAGAAAAGUUUCCUAUCCAAGGUGGGAUGGUUCCAGUGAGAUUGUUACCAUAAAGCCAUAGAUGUUCUAAAUUCAACAAUGAACUGAGUUGGUUCGGAAUGGACCCCUUAAUAUGAUUGUAUUGCAAAUUAAGCAUUCUUAGUUGUGCGCAUUGCGACAAAUUAGUUGGAAUUUUCUCACGGAAGGAAUUAUGAGAAAGGUUGAGAUAUUGUAGGCUUUGUAGACGACCCAUUUCCGAAGGAAUUCCCCCAUGAAAAUUGUUGUCUUUCAAAUUGAUUGCAAUAAGAUAAGUAAGAUUUCCAACGGAAGGUGGAAUGGAGCCUACCAACUUUUUUGAUAUCAGGUUCAACAUCAAGACUCUUUUGGUGGAACGAUGGCAAGAAACCCCAACCCAAUUGCAGAAAUGGAUGGAAUGAUUCCACGAGCUCAUGACAUCGAAAGGAUCUGCGGUUAUUUUUUUCUUGAAGUCUAGCAGAGCCAAGUGAUCAGAUUCAUUUCCAAGCAGAGUAAGACUGCGAGGUGCUGUAGAUUCAAGGCAAGUGCUCAUGCAUAAAAGAAUGAACCCAUGCAGGAAUUUGAACAAAACCAGCUUACGGUUGAUACGUGAAUGCUCCAUCAUUGCUCUAAGACAGAGAGCAAAACAGGUUAAUAAACGAAACUGAAUUUGCACAAAUCCAUAAAUUUUGAAAUUUUGAAAUUUUGGGAGUUAAUGUUUUGAGAAACAGCUCUCAAUUUCCGGUUUUUGUUUUUGCUGGUUUUUGAAGUGGUUGUGAGAACCGGUUCUUUUGAACCAAUUUAAUCGGUUUUAGUGAUUGCAUGUAGAGGGUUUUUGAAUUUGUAGAGUCGAUCUGAAAAUAUUGUGGGAUUCUAGGGAAUUGAGGUUUCUUCCUAUUCUAAAUUUUACAGACUAUUUGUUUUCUAAAAUUUGGUUUUGGAUGAGAAAACGAUGAUAAACAGAUGGCAAGUGUAGUUCUUCUUCUAACAUUUUGCUAAGUUUGCUCAGCUCUAAACCCUUCAGUCUACAACAUAGAUAUAUUGAAUUUAUAAUAAACAGUUAAGAAAAAUAGUGAAACACCAACAAGAAAAACAACAGAGAUACUGCACAAUUAAAAUGAAUAAGGGAUUAUAUAUUAGUAUUUAAGAUAUAUAAUGUUUACUGAUGUGUACCUUUUUUGUUUUUUUGAUGAACAAUAAUGAUUUCAAUUUUUUUAGCACUGAUCAUUUUCAGUUAAAAGUAAAAUGUUUUAGGUUGACUCUUAUUCUGUGUGGUCAAUUCCCUCACCUCAGUGGGUAAAAUAAAAUAUGGUUGCAUAACAAAAUGGAUCUUAUACUUAUGCAAAAUAUCGUUGCAUAACAAUAUGUUAGACAUAAUACAAAUUUCCCUUGAAAAUUCUGAGAGAAGAUACAUUUUGUGUCAACAAAAGUCUGACGCACUAUUCCUUUUCUUUUUAUAUCCACCUUUUUUGUUAUGAUAUCAUUUAACCUCCCUUUUGGACAUGCUUACACUAUAGUAAAAUGAAGUUAAGUUAUAAGCUUUCUUGGGAUUUUCGGAAAGUAUGAAAAUAUGAAUAUUAUCAAAGGAAAUUGUAUUGAAAUUCAAAGGUUUUAUUUGCACUCAUUUUUUUUUUCUUUUUCUUUUUCGUAUGUUUGUGAGGAGAUUAGAAACAAGCUCAA